rnacentral:lncRNA from 1 species
UAGUUACUAUAACAGAGUUAUUGCCCCUAUUCACGUGUUGAUGUCCUUUCAUGGCUAAAAUUUGACAUUAACGGUUCGAAAUGUUGAAGCAGCCCAAGAAAGCUGGAUCGAGUUGGGUGGUGUCUGGAAUCAAGAUAGCUGUUGUUCUAGAACUGGCUUUUGUUGGGGCCUCAUAUUUAGUCUGGUCCAAAAUGAACAAGUCUCGGGAUUUCCGUUUCAAAAUGCACAACAGCUUUCCAGUCCUCCUGAAAGGGUAUUAUAUGACUGGAGAAACACUGGGUGGGUUUCAGACGAAGCAAGAAGACUAUAAAGCCUGGGGAAUUGAGGAUACAAGCUGAAGUGAACAAUGUCACAAAUACAGUAGUGGAUCUGGAUUGUCUCCGAGUGGGGGAUGGGGGAUGGGGGAUGGAGUUGUGGUAGAAUCGAGACAAAAAUGGUUAUGACAGGAUUUCUCACUGAAAUAGUAUUUUCAGUAUAUAGCAAUACUCUUUCAGUAAUGUUUUUUUAUGAUGAUAAGAUUUUGUCUUGAGCAUUUUAAUUUCCUGAAGAAUACAUGACUAAAAUGUGUUUUUUAAAUAGUCAUUUAAAAGGGAAUGAACCGUCACCACCCAUGCCACCUCCUGAAUCCUGAAAUACAAGAACAUAAUUUGGAAUGACUUUGAUUAAUCUGUCAUGGCUAAAAUGGAGUAACAUUUUGAAAAGUAAAUUUACACAUGUAGAUUGACACCAAUUGUUCUGUAUAAAUAUUUUUGGAGGACUUUUCACCAUGAGAACAGUUGGACCAUCAUCCCCAAACUUUGAUAACUAAUAAGUUAUUUUAUAAAUUUAAUAACAUAAUUAACACAUUACCUUUUUAUAUUUAUAAUGUGACUCAUAACUUUUGUUGUGUAUUCUAGAAACAUCUUUGUAUUCAGAUUGUGUUUUCCUGUAACCUAAGAAUUGGGAUUUUUGUUUUAUAGUUAUUGCUAAAGCCUUGUGAUACUGAUAGUAUAUGUGAAACAUAUUUUCUAAAAUAGUUUUUAUGAUAAUAAAGGGUAGAGUGCCUUAGAGACAUUUUAGCUAUGUUGGUGUGUUUUUCAGUGUGUGAUGCCGGUAUAUAGACCGAAGGCAUGUUCGGUAUGGCUCAACUGGUUUUUACAUUUAAUGUUAGAUGAAUGUGACAUGAUACAAGAUGAUGAUACCAGUCAAAUUGUUCAUGAGUGCUUAGCCUCCUAAACAUGCCACUGACAGUAAACCCUACAUGCAGUCCGACUUGCUUAAUCAGCCACUGACAGUAAACCCUACAUGCAGUCCAACUUGCUUAAUCAGCCACUGACAGUAAAACCUACAUGCAGCCCGACUUGCUUAAUCAGCCACUGACAGUAAAACCUACAUGCAGUCCGACUUGCUUAAUCAGCCACUGACAGUAAAACCUACAUGCAGUCCGACUUGCUUAAUCAGCCACCUGUCAUUAGAGACCAUCUUAUUCUCACAAAUAUCUAUUAUAAUUAAAAUUAACCUGUAUUGAGUAGACAUAUGUCAUAAAGGCCAAUAUAUUAUCCCAAAUAUGCCACUAUUAAGCAACCAUCUUAAGGGAAAAUUCUUUAUACUCUGUUUAUUCACCUUAUACAGGUGGCUGUUUAAUAGUUUGUGCUUUAUAGAGAUGACUGGUAUCCUGUUGAAUAAGACUUGUUAUUAACCAUUAGUUAACAAAAUAUUUUAUCACAUGAUGUUGUAUACCAAAGACACAUUUUAUCAUAUGUAUUAAAUGCUUUUAAAAUAGUUAUGUGAAGUUGACUGUACACAUGGUAUGUAUAUAUUAAAAAACUGAUUCGUUGUCUGUGACAAUAUGAAGCUGCCUAUCAUGAUUGACUUAAUUUUAGUACCAAAAUAUAGGUAAUGGACAUUUUUAUAGGUUUUAACGAAAUGUUUGAGACUGUUUUAUUUCAUUACUACAAUUGUGGAUCGGGAUAUAGCCCAUUGGUAAAGCGCUCGCAUGAUGCACAGUUGGUCUCAGAUUGGUCCCUGUCAGUGGGUUAAUUGGGCUAUUUUUCAUUCCAGCCAGUACUCCACAACUAGUAUAUCAAAGGCUGUGGUAUGUGCUAUCCUGUUUAAGGGAUGGUACAUAUAAAAGAUCCCUUGCUACUAAUGGAAACAUGUAACAGGUUUCCUCUUUAAGACUGUUAAUGUUACCAAUUGUUUGACAUCUAAAAGCCUAUAAUUAAUAAAUCAAUGUGCUUUAGUGGUGUCAUUAAAUAAAGCAAACUUUUAGCUACAAUUCUCAACAGUUUGAUAAAUUUUGUAUAGCAUACAGAAAUGAAAGUUAAUUUUUUUUUUAUUAUUGUUGGUCCCCUACCAGUCCAACCAGAGGUGACCAUAGAUUUCCUGUCUGUCUGACUUUUGUUAUGAUUAAAUAAUGAUUUACCCAUUUUUUACCUUUGAACUUUGGAGAUAAGAACAUUUGUUUUCCAGACUCUUUUUUUUGGUACUUUUAUUUCGCAAUGCAUCAAGAUAUUGAGCUGAAAUUAUGUGUAUAGCUUUAUGAAUCAUAAUAACCUGUUACAGAUCAAGUUUGCCCAUGACAAUUUACUAAUUGUUAACUGAAUUAUCGCCCUUGAACUUAGAAGAUAUGGACAUUUGUUGAGACCGAUAGGGGACAUGUAUUGCUUUAGCAGUACUCUCAGAAUAUGGAUCAGUAGUUUUAUUGGCUGUAAUAGAUGUAAUGUACACCAACUCAUCUGGCUAUUAUACAAAUUAGGGUUGUUUUGAUUACUACUACUAGUAUUGGUUGGUAUAUUUGAAAAUAACAUUGUAAUAUAUUUAAUUAUUGUAUAAUAGACUUAACAAAUAAAGUUAUACCAGUAUA